rnacentral:lncRNA from 1 species
GGCCGCCAUGUUUCCUGAACACAAAAUGGCGACACGUGGUUAGCAUUCGUCGCCAACGAGAAAUUGGGGUCGGCCCGAAAGCUCUAGAAUGCACCCCUCUUCCUCCCCGGGGCCUUCCACCUCCGCGAGUUUUAUGACUUAAAAAAGCCCACAGGCUGGUCUGAAGAGGAAGACAAACAUAAAGAUGAAGUGCUUAAUUCAAGGUCACACAAUGUCGGGGAUGGACCUCCAGAUUUCCUUACUGACCUGCAUUAUCUUGUGGAUACCUGAGUGAAUUCCACACCACCCAUUUUAUAGAUGAAACCACUGAGACAUGGAGCAAUUGACUGAGUAGUCACUGCCCCACCCCUGCCUGGAGCCUCACACAUGACUCGCCUCCUCUCAGUGACCACAGGUUGGUUGAGGGGUUUAACAAGGCUAAGAAGUACUUAUCCUGUAUUACAUGAAGGAAAUGAAAUAAAAAGACUGCAGCCCCACUCCCAGCUACUCAGUGAGGUGGUAGCUAGAGACGGAGUCUUGCUAUGUUGCCCAGGCUGGUCUUGAACUCCUCACCUCAAGCGAUCCUCCCGUCUUGGCCUCCCAAGUGUCAGGAUUACGGGCAUGUGCUAUCACACCCAACCUGAUACAUUGCCUUUAUAAAUUUUUUUUUCUUUAUUCUAAAAACCAGAAAAAACAAAACUGGAUACAUGUGCAGAACAUGCAGGUUUGUUACAUAGCUGUACGUGUGCCAUGGUGGUUUGCUGCACCUAUUGACCUAUCCUGUAAGUUCCCUCCCCUCACCCCCACCCCCCAACAGCCCU